rnacentral:rRNA from 1 species
GGGGAAUAUUGCGCAAUGGGCGAAAGCCUGACGCAGCAACGCCGCGUGGGUGAUGAAGGCCUUCGGGUCGUAAAACCCUGUCAGAGGGGAAAAACAAGCGAGGUAGGAAAUGCCCUCGCUCUGAUGGUACCCUUAAAGGAAGCACCGGCUAACUCCGUGCCAGCAGCCGCGGUAAUACGGGGGGUGCAAGCGUUGUUCGGAAUCACUGGGCGUAAAGCGCGUGUAGGCGGGUGGCUAAGUCAGAUGUGAAAGCCCAUGGCGUAACCGUGGAAGUGCAUUUGAAACUGGCCGUCUAGAGUGCGGAAGGGGGAGGGGGAAUUCCCGGUGUAGAGGUGAGAUUCGUAGAUAUCGGGAGGAAUACCGGUGGCGAAGGCGCCCUCCUGGGCCGCUACUGACGCUGAGACGCGAAAGCGUGGGGAGCAAAC